rnacentral:lncRNA from 1 species
GACGUAAACCUUUAUUGUAUUAAGCCACUGAGCAUUGGAGGUUGUUUCUAUGGCAGCAGAGCCUAGCCUACUCUGACUACUUUGAGGACUUUGUCCAUGAAUGUGUUCCUGUUCACUCUAGAAUUUUAACUGACAGCCCGGUAGAGAGAAGCAUUGUGAUGAUAAUGAUGACGAUGAUGAUAUCACUGAGUGCUGGAAAAGGUUUCUGCCACUACCUUCCUAGACUCAUCUAAGUGGAUGGACUCCAGGGGAUGGAGAAUGGAAGGCAGCAGAUGUUUGUUGACUUCUUGCUCUAUAUCGGGCACUGUGCUAGAUACCAUACACGCCAUCAACAUUUAGGACAGUAUGACAAAGGAGAAUGAAAGCUGUCUCUUGUAGAUAGGAUAUUUUCAGCCGUCAUCACCAUGGACUCUUUGAAAUGUACUACUUCAGAAAAGCCACAGUGACUCCCUCUGGGCCUCACCCACCUGAGAUGACAUCACGACGCAAAUCUAGGACUUACGCUCUUCAUACGGAUGGAAUGGUUGGUUCACUUGGCUUUCAGAGUGCAGACAAGCCAUUCAGUGGAGGGCAUGCCUCAGCCUGCACUCUUCUGACUCAUGACAUGACUUCUCCAUGGAGAGCCAGGAUUUUUCUCAAGUGUAACAAUAUUAAUUAUCAAGUCACUUUAAAACAUGUGUGAUGUAUGUGUGCAUUUAUUUCACAGGAAUGGUAUAAAG